AGAGUUUGAUCCUGGCUCAGAUUGAACGCUGGCGGCAGGCCUAACACAUGCAAGUCGAGCGGAUGAAGGGAGCUUGCUCCCUGAUUUAGCGGCGGACGGGUGAGUAAUGCCUAGGAAUCUGCCUGGUAGUGGGGGAUAACGUUCCGAAAGGAACGCUAAUACCGCAUACGUCCUGCGGGAGAAAGCAGGGGACCUUCGGGCCUUGCGCUAUCAGAUGAGCCUAGGUCGGAUUAGCUAGUUGGUGAGGUAAUGGCUCACCAAGGCGACGAUCCGUAACUGGUCUGAGAGGAUGAUCAGUCACACUGGAACUGAGACACGGUCCAGACUCCUACGGGAGGCAGCAGUGGGGAAUAUUGGACAAUGGGCGAAAGCCUGAUCCAGCCAUGCCGCGUGUGUGAAGAAGGUCUUCGGAUUGCAAAGCACUUUAAGUUGGGAGGAAGGGCAUUAACCUAAUACGUUAGUGUUUUGACGUUACCGACAGAAUAAGCACCGGCUAACUUCGUGCCAGCAGCCGCGGUAAUACGAAGGGUGCAAGCGUUAAUCGGAAUUACUGGGCGUAAAGCGCGCGUAGGUGGUUCGUUAAGUUGGAUGUGAAAGCCCCGGGCUCAACCUGGGAACUGCAUCCAAAACUGGCGAGCUAGAGUACGGUAGAGGGUGGUGGAAUUUCCUGUGUAGCGGUGAAAUGCGUAGA
rnacentral:rRNA from 1 species